CCCAAGGCCACCUGGAGCACAUCUGUGGGUGAAGAAGUUGGGUUUAUUACUCACUGCAGUGGGAGGGAGAAUGCACACCUUGGAUAACUACCGAGUAUCUUGACUUCAGGUUUUCUUCAGGGAGAAGCUGCUUAGGGAGGCUCCUGCGUGGACCGAGUCCUUCCUGAGGGUUUGCUUGGUGCCCUAACUGUGGCUGACUGCCUCCCGCGGGGUCCCAACUUUAUACCCAGAG
rnacentral:lncRNA from 1 species